UACAGAGGUCUCAAGCGUUGUUCGGAAUCAUUGGGCGUAAAGAGCGUGUAGGCGGCCUGAUAAGUCGGCUGUGAAAGUCAAAGGGCUCAACCCUUGAAUGCCGGCCGAUACUGUCAGGCUAGAGUCCGGAAGAGGUGAGUGGAACUCCGAGUGUAGAGGUGAAAUUCGUAGAUAUUCGGAAGAACACCAGUGGCGUAAGGCGGCUA
rnacentral:rRNA from 1 species